GGGUUGUGAGGUUAAGCGACUAAGCGUACACGGUGGAUGCCCUGGCAGUCAGAGGCGAUGAAGGACGUGCUAAUCUGCGAUAAGCGUCGGUAAGGUGAUAUGAACCGUUAUAACCGGCGAUUUCCGAAUGGGGAAACCCAGUGUGAUUCGUCACACUAUCAUUAACUGAAUCCAUAGGUUAAUGAGGCGAACCGGGGGAACUGAAACAUCUAAGUACCCCGAGGAAAAGAAAUCAACCGAGAUUCCCCCAGUAGCGGCGAGCGAACGGGGAGCAGCCCAGAGCCUGAAUCAGUGUGUGUGUUAGUGGAAGUGUCUGGAAAGGCGCGCGAUACAGGGUGACAGCCCCGUACACAAAAAUGCACAUGCUGUGAGCUCGAUGAGUAGGGCGGGACACGUGGUAUCCUGUCUGAAUAUGGGGGGACCAUCCUCCAAGGCUAAAUACUCCUGACUGACCGAUAGUGAACCAGUACCGUGAGGGAAAGGCGAAAAGAACCCCGGCGAGGGGAGUGAAAAAGAACCUGAAACCGUGUACGUACAAGCAGUGGGAGCACGCUUAGGCGUGUGACUGCGUACCUUUUGUAUAAUGGGUCAGCGACUUAUAUUCUGUAGCAAGGUUAACCGAAUAGGGGAGCCGAAGGGAAACCGAGUCUUAACUGGGCGUUAAGUUGCAGGGUAUAGACCCGAAACCCGGUGAUCUAGCCAUGGGCAGGUUGAAGGUUGGGUAACACUAACUGGAGGACCGAACCGACUAAUGUUGAAAAAUUAGCGGAUGACUUGUGGCUGGGGGUGAAAGGCCAAUCAAACCGGGAGAUAGCUGGUUCUCCCCGAAAGCUAUUUAGGUAGCGCCUCGUGAAUUCAUCUCCGGGGGUAGAGCACUGUUUCGGCAAGGGGGUCAUCCCGACUUACCAACCCGAUGCAAACUGCGAAUACCGGAGAAUGUUAUCACGGGAGACACACGGCGGGUGCUAACGUCCGUCGUGAAGAGGGAAACAACCCAGACCGCCAGCUAAGGUCCCAAAGUCAUGGUUAAGUGGGAAACGAUGUGGGAAGGCCCAGACAGCCAGGAUGUUGGCUUAGAAGCAGCCAUCAUUUAAAGAAAGCGUAAUAGCUCACUGGUCGAGUCGGCCUGCGCGGAAGAUGUAACGGGGCUAAACCAUGCACCGAAGCUGCGGCAGCGACGCUGAUGCGUUGUUGGGUAGGGGAGCGUUCUGUAAGCCUGCGAAGGUGUGCUGUGAGGCAUGCUGGAGGUAUCAGAAGUGCGAAUGCUGACAUAAGUAACGAUAAAGCGGGUGAAAAGCCCGCUCGCCGGAAGACCAAGGGUUCCUGUCCAACGUUAAUCGGGGCAGGGUGAGUCGACCCCUAAGGCGAGGCCGAAAGGCGUAGUCGAUGGGAAACAGGUUAAUAUUCCUGUACUUGGUGUUACUGCGAAGGGGGGACGGAGAAGGCUAUGUUGGCCGGGCGACGGUUGUCCCGGUUUAAGCGUGUAGGCUGGUUUUCCAGGCAAAUCCGGAAAAUCAAGGCUGAGGCGUGAUGACGAGGCACUACGGUGCUGAAGCAACAAAUGCCCUGCUUCCAGGAAAAGCCUCUAAGCAUCAGGUAACAUCAAAUCGUACCCCAAACCGACACAGGUGGUCAGGUAGAGAAUACCAAGGCGCUUGAGAGAACUCGGGUGAAGGAACUAGGCAAAAUGGUGCCGUAACUUCGGGAGAAGGCACGCUGAUAUGUAGGUGAAGUCCCUCGCGGAUGGAGCUGAAAUCAGUCGAAGAUACCAGCUGGCUGCAACUGUUUAUUAAAAACACAGCACUGUGCAAACACGAAAGUGGACGUAUACGGUGUGACGCCUGCCCGGUGCCGGAAGGUUAAUUGAUGGGGUUAGCGCAAGCGAAGCUCUUGAUCGAAGCCCCGGUAAACGGCGGCCGUAACUAUAACGGUCCUAAGGUAGCGAAAUUCCUUGUCGGGUAAGUUCCGACCUGCACGAAUGGCGUAAUGAUGGCCAGGCUGUCUCCACCCGAGACUCAGUGAAAUUGAACUCGCUGUGAAGAUGCAGUGUACCCGCGGCAAGACGGAAAGACCCCGUGAACCUUUACUAUAGCUUGACACUGAACAUUGAGCCUUGAUGUGUAGGAUAGGUGGGAGGCUUUGAAGUGUGGACGCCAGUCUGCAUGGAGCCGACCUUGAAAUACCACCCUUUAAUGUUUGAUGUUCUAACGUGGACCCGUAAUCCGGGUUGCGGACAGUGUCUGGUGGGUAGUUUGACUGGGGCGGUCUCCUCCUAAAGAGUAACGGAGGAGCACGAAGGUUGGCUAAUCCUGGUCGGACAUCAGGAGGUUAGUGCAAUGGCAUAAGCCAGCUUGACUGCGAGCGUGACGGCGCGAGCAGGUGCGAAAGCAGGUCAUAGUGAUCCGGUGGUUCUGAAUGGAAGGGCCAUCGCUCAACGGAUAAAAGGUACUCCGGGGAUAACAGGCUGAUACCGCCCAAGAGUUCAUAUCGACGGCGGUGUUUGGCACCUCGAUGUCGGCUCAUCACAUCCUGGGGCUGAAGUAGGUCCCAAGGGUAUGGCUGUUCGCCAUUUAAAGUGGUACGCGAGCUGGGUUUAGAACGUCGUGAGACAGUUCGGUCCCUAUCUGCCGUGGGCGCUGGAGAACUGAGGGGGGCUGCUCCUAGUACGAGAGGACCGGAGUGGACGCAUCACUGGUGUUCGGGUUGUCAUGCCAAUGGCACUGCCCGGUAGCUAAAUGCGGAAGAGAUAAGUGCUGAAAGCAUCUAAGCACGAAACUUGCCCCGAGAUGAGUUCUCCCUGACUCCUUGAGAGUCCUGAAGGAACGUUGAAGACGACGACGUUGAUAGGCCGGGUGUGUAAGCGCAGCGAUGCGUUGAGCUAACCGGUACUAAUGAACCGUGAGGCUUAACCUUACAACGCCGAAGCUGUU
rnacentral:rRNA from 1 species